rnacentral:misc_RNA from 1 species
CGCACAUUGCGCCCUUUGGUAUUCCGAAGGGCAUGCCUAUUCGAGCGUCAUUAUCAACCUUCCAGCACUUGUGCUUGUAGUUGGGUCGAGUCGGGUGACCGACUGACCUCAAAGACAAUGGUAGUUGUUCUUGGAACUCUCGGUACAAUGAGCUCUCACCAGCACGUACCGGUCAGGGAACUGAGACCUAUCGACCUUUUUAUUUUUCUUAGGUUGACCUCGGAUUAGGUAGGGAUACCCGCUGAACUUAA